AUCAGCCUCUUGAGGUAGUGCACCCAAAGUCUCUUCUCCUCCUGGUUCUUUGUCUGCAGUUAUGACACAAGUAUUAAACAAGUAAUGUGGAGAACAGCCGGUACACGAAGUAGACACCUUGCUGUAUGACCUUUCCAGAUGGACUCAAACUGAUGACUCUGGCACGAUCCUGCAGUCUCAGACAUGACCUGGGACUCGGACUCGAUCCCGGGGUGACUUCGCUCCGGCACUCACCUGGACGGUGUGCUGCUGCUUGGGAAUCGUCUGAUCCGACACUUUGAAACACAGAGGGUCCUUCACAGUCUCUACCAGCAGCAGAUUACAACA